ACUCUAGUCUGACUCUGUGAAGAGUCAUGAGAGGUGUAGCAUAAGUGGGAGGUUAUGAAAAAAAAAAUUUUUUUUUCUUAGCCGGCGGUGAAAUAUACCAUUACUUUCAACGAUUCUUUACUUAUUCGGUAAGACGAGAAUUGAGCUAUAUUCAUCGCCUCUCUAAUAUCUAAGAUCGCUCAUUUCAAUUGUAAAAUGUUUUAAAUUUGCAGCGCUAGAAAUUGAUUUAAAUAAUUUCGGGUGAAAGU
rnacentral:ncRNA from 1 species